CCCGUCCACCCAACCGUGGCAAUACUCGCCCCCCGCCGGCUGGGCGGACGCGCCCCAGCCCAGGAAUCCCAGCAGCAGGUGGAAGGGACAGAUAAAAGGAGGCGGCCCAGCUCAGUCUGGCCUGGCGGAGGAUGAGGAUGAAGAUGAAGGAGAAGGAUAUGUGCUGCAAGCUCCUGCAGAAAUGCCUGCAACUCUCCAAGAGGUGGGAGCUGUGCACCUGGACUGCACUGCAGAUGGCCAGUCGACCAUGGAGACCGAUUGGGGCACUGAGCUGCUGCCAGCCGAGGAGAUGCCCGAGCUGAGCUUUGAGCUCCAUGCACAUGGCGAGUUUCCUGACAUGAAUAUAAAGUUCUGGGUCAGAAAAUACCAGCAUGUCACGAUUUAUACUUGAGCUGUAUUCCUGAUGGCCUAAGUACAGCAAAUGGACAGAGCUCUACAGCAUAAAUACCACCACCGUGACUGACAGUAACUGACACCCCUGUUGAUAGCUUUAGCCAAAGAACCAAGGAUUAGGUGGAUUUAGAGACUGAGGCCCAGUUCUUUGAUCUCACCCAGCUGAGUUUGCCAUAGGACAUAAGGGAGGGACAACUGAGGCUUUAAGCACCUUUGCAUUCCCCCAAUCCUAGAGCCAGCUGGCACAAUUUAUAGAAACUUCAGGGCUGCUGUAAAUUGCACCCAGCUGCCCACAACCCUCAGAGGUUAACGUAGGAACAUAGGAAAUGCCUGACUGUAUCAGAACCAAAGUCCAUCUAGUCCAGUAUCCUGUCUCCAACAACGGCCAGCACAGGAUGCUUUAGAUCAGCAUUUCUCAAAUGCGGCCACCGUGGCCGCAUGAGACCACCAAGGGCUUUUCUUGCAGCCACAGCCUCCUUGGCUGGGCGUGGGGGGGGGAGGGAAGCAGUGGCACCUCCCCCUGGGGCCAUCAGCAGGGGUUGGACCCUGCCCCUCUCUGCAGAGACAAACACUGGAGGAGCAGGCAGCCAUUGAGGUCCUGGAAGCGGUGGGGUCAGACUUCAGCCCUGGGGUGGCAGGCAGCAGGAUCAGGCUGCAGGGCUUUGGACUCUGGCCCCUGGGCUCACCUCCCUCCCAUCGCUCCAGGUCCCCACUGCCUCCCUACCCCCCUUUCCAUCAAGGGCUUAAUUUGUCCCUGGUCUUG